rnacentral:lncRNA from 1 species
CUCACAAGGACUGAGCUUCCUGCUGUUGUCCUUCAGCUUACAGGGAAUGAAAGGAGAAGACAGCGGAUGGUGCUGCUGUACUGUACUCACUCAUCCUUGAGGUGCACUUGAGGACUGGGUGAGGGAGGGAGCUCCCCCUGGUGUUCAGGAGAGAGAGACUCAGAGAAGGUAAAUUUAUCUUUCUAUAAAUCUUCCUUAGCCUGAUGUCU